UACGUAGGGUGCAAGCGUUGUCCGGAAUUAUUGGGCGUAAAGAGCUCGUAGGCGGCUUGUCACGUCGACUGUGAAAACCCGGGGCUCAACUCCGGGCCUGCAGUCGAUACGGGCUGGCUUGAGUGCGGUAGGGGAGACUGGAAUUCCUGGUGUAGCGGUGAAAUGCGCAGAUAUCAGGAGGAACACCGGUGGUGUAGACGGCUUACUGGACCACGACUGACACUGAGGCACGAAAGCGUGGGUAGCAAACAGG
rnacentral:rRNA from 1 species